AUUCCAGCUCCAAUAGCGUAUAUUAAAGUUGUUGCAGUUAAAACGCUCGUAGUCGGAUUUCGGGGCGAUCCCGCCGGUCUGCCGUUGGGUAUGCACUGGUGGGCGCGUCCUUCCUUCCGGAGACCGUUCCUACUCUUAGCUGAGCGGGGACGGGAGACGGAUCGUUUACUUUGAAAAAAUCAGAGUGUUUCAAGCAGGCAUUUGCUCUUGCAUGGAUUAGCAUGGGAUAAUGAAAUAGGACUUUGGUGCUAUUUUGUUGGUUUCGAACACCGAAGUAAUGAUUAACAGGGACAGUCAGGGGCACUCGUAUUCCGCCGAGAGAGGUGAAAUUCUCAGACCAGCGGAAGACGAACCACUGCGAAAGCAUUUGCCAGGGAUGUUUUCAUUA
rnacentral:rRNA from 1 species